GGGUGCACGCUGCACUCCUGUCUGCUGGCCAUCUGCUAUGUCCUUCCACCCGUCCGGGCCACUGUGGUCCCCCGAGCUGGACACACUGUUGCCCCUCCGUGCCCCAUGCAACCCAACCCCCACAGCAGCCAGGCGCUUGCCUGAAGAGCUACAUUGGAUUGUGCCGCUCACCUGCUCACAGCCCCACCACACCUAAACGAAGCCCACGCCCCCCAGUCCUCCUCACGAGCCCUGCAGGACCUGCCCACCUUGGCACACUCUGGCUGGGUCCUUCUGGCAAGCAGGUUUGUCCUUGCUGGAAGGACCUCACACCUUCUGUCUGCCCAUGAGUAUGCCCCUUGACCCUUUCCUCAGACGGCCAUCAUUCCCAUCCUAUAAGCCUCUGCCGGCACCUCUCCGAGGUGGCUUCCCCGGGCACAGAUCUGCAGGCGCCCACCCGGGGCCUCUCCCCUCGCACACUGACCACCAUUUGUAACCACGUGUCUGUUGUUUACUUGCUCGCGGCCAGCCUUCGUGAGCACUGCCCUAUCCGGGGACCCGGAACCUGCCCUUGAGGAAGCUACAAUGCUGCAGGACGGGGACAGCGGUGACACAGGCGCAGCUGCUGCAAGCAGGCACAGUCCUAAGCAGAACAGAGCAGGUGCCGGGAGAAUCUGCACUUGCCCGUCCAGGUGGUGAGAAGGAAGGACUCGCUCCCCGACAUGCCGCAGACAGAACAAAACCCCCGCCGACAGGCCUCCCGCCUUCCCUCUCCAUGCCCUGCUUGGCUCCGUUUCCUCCUAGAAGAUGAGGGGCACGUACUGACACCAGAGAGGCUCACGGACGGAGACAACAGGACCUCAGAAGGCCAUCCAGAGGGAACAAGUCCACCCCAGAUGGCCACCUCUUCACACACUGACCGGGCUGGCUAUCUCUCAUCAUUCAGGACUUCCCUCAGAUGACAUCACCCCAGGUCUUCCCUGACCUUGACAUCUGCACCUUGCAGUCACUUUACUGUUAUUUCGUAUUCGUUGUACUUGUUACUCUCAGAAAUGAUGUCGCCCAUCCAUUACCAGUCCCCCUCCCGAGUAUACUGUCGUCUCCACGAGUCUGGUCUGCUGCAGGACUCCACGGCCUUUGCACAGCUGGUGCUCAGUAAACCCCAGAAUGAGCAGAAUGGUCUGGGGGCUUCUCAUGACCAGUCACUGAUGACUUCAUGGUUUCUGAUCUCAUUUUAUACUGGUGAGAGUCCCCAGUUAGGGAUAAAACCGCUUACUUUCAACAGUUCACAGAAAUAAAUCCCAGAGCUAUAGACACUCCUAAAGCCAGCCAGGGAAGACACUGUUUUUGGCUUGCUGCUCUGAUGGAAGGGGACAGGAGCCCUCGGGAGCUCCCCUGGUGCACUCAGGCCAUCAAGGCUCCUGGGCUCCCGUGUGCGAGGGUGGGGCCUGGAUGGUGGGGUGGGGGGCAGUGGACGGAGAGGACAAAGUGACACAGUGGGGAGCAGGGGCUCUCGUAUCUCACGCCUGGCUUCAAAUGCUCACCUCACCACUUACUGUGUGUGUGUGUGUGGCCUGAGAAAACAAGUGUCACCUCUCCCAGCUUCCGCUUCCUCCUUUGUAAAAUUAGGAUAACAGGCAUGGUGUGAGCGUUCAACAGGGCGAUGCCCACACAGCCUGCGGAGAGUGAGCGAUCUGGGCUGUUCUAUUCAUUAC